rnacentral:lncRNA from 1 species
GAUCAUCUUCUACUUCAAAAUACUUUCUCCCCUUCAGGUUCUUCCUCCUCAGCUUUUCCUCAGGGUCCUGAAAUGGUUAUUCAAUAACCAAUGAGACCACGUCUCAGCGAGUCCUACCCCCUACGACUCGAUUAGUAAACUAAUACACCAUCCGGUUGCCUAAGCACAACAUGAGUCAGAGGACUUACCUUAGCCUCAGUUCCAACCUGCAAUUCAAGGUUAAACACAGAUAUUCAAACAUUUCACGACAUCCGAUCAAGCACUGGUCAAUCGACUAAGUCGAUUACAUGUCAAUCUGACCAUCUCUAGGUCAUUCCCACUCAUACCAUGAUUUCCCAGUGGUGUACUCAUUCACCAAAUCACAUGUGUUUCUCGGGCGUCGUUUUCGCCAAUGACAUACCGAUCACCGACACCGUGCGUUCUUUAAGGCGCCGUUUUCACCAGUGAUAACCUUGAUCACCGAACCACGUGUCCUUUCAAGGGCGCCGUUUUCGCCAAGGUGACAUCGGCUAUAGACAACAUCGUGCGUUCUUUAAGGCGCCGUUUUCACCAGUGAUAUUCCCAUAAUCACCGAACCACGUUUGUCUAUAAGUCAUUUACGUGCGUUCUUUAAGGCGCCGUUUUCGCCAGUGAUACUUCCAAUCACCGAACCACGUAUGUCCAAUAAUAUCGUACCUGAUUGGUCUCACCAUUCUCCCUACUAUAUAGCCCAUCAACGUACUGGCGCUAUAUACUCAUGCUCGGCCAUUACCAAUCAAAUACUCAAUAACAAACAUUUAAGGAUAAAUCCUCAAAUUUCACAAUUAAUUCAAUUCCACACAACGUAGAGCUCAAAUAAAUAAACGGUCUGCACCACGACAAUCGGCACGAAAUUCCGGUCACCGGCCAUCCCGGUUGAAUUUCCGGAAAAAUAAUUAAUUAAAUAAAUAAAUUUCGAAAAUAAAUAAAUAAACAUUGAAAAUCCAAUUUAGGCCUAUAUUGCCUUAUUGGAGCCCGAAACGGGUCGGGAAAAAUCCCGAGAUGCAUUCAAUAAAUAACCAAACAUUUCUACUUGCUAAUAGCUAGGUCUAACCACCUAACAUGCAUCAUUAAGUCACUAAACUAAUUGUUCUAACCUAAUCUAACCACCUAUGUGCAUGUAAUUAAAUCUAACCAACCUUAAGCAUAAUUAGCAAACUAAUAAAGCAUUAGUGAGUAAAACUCACUUGAUCAAAAGCGGGGAUCGAAUCACCGCAACGGCGACGCGACAACGGCCGAAAUCCGAACUUUCGGCGGCGUCAACGGACACUCAGGCCGGGCCCAAAGAUCUUGCCUCGCGGGCUUGGGCUUCAAAAGAACUUGCUGUACUUCACUGGACUGGGCUUGAAUCAAGACUGAACAUGGGCUUCAAAUGGACUGAAGCUUGCUGUGAAUGGGCUUGAACCAGAAAAGAAUCUGCUGAAUUUCUGGACUGAACUAACUGCGCUAGCUGAACUGGGCUUGCUGGUCUUGUGCUGAAUUCGGUGGCCCAAAGGACUGAAGCUCACGGGCUGGGCUUGCUGCAGGGCUUGUCUUCAGCUAGUUUGUUGGACUGAAGAUCACAUGGGCUGCUGAGCUGGGCCUGAGCUUGUACGAAGGAAAACGGAGGAGGAUCUAUGGGCUUGGUCUUCUCGGGGUUGCUGGAGUUGACCGGUCUAGCGGAAUACUCGAAGAAGCAGCUCGUUGCUGUUGCUAGGCGGAACACGAAAUCAACGCUGGUGGAGGGCGCUGGUUCGUUGAUC